rnacentral:rRNA from 1 species
GUGUCAGCAGCCGCGGUAAUACGUAGGGGGCAAGCGUUGUCCGGAUUUAUUGGGCGUAAAGCGCACGCAGGCGGUCGGCCAAGUUCGGAGUGACAGUUUCCAGCUUAACUGGGAAAGGUCUUCGAAAACUGGUUGACUUGAGGACUUGAGGGGGAGACGGAAUUCCGGGUGGAGCGGUGAAAUGCGUAGAGAUCCGGAGGAACACCGAAGGCGAAGGCAGUCUCCUGGCAAGUUACUGACGCUCAGGUGCGAAAGCUAGGGGAGCGAACAGGAUUAGAUACCCUGGUAGUCC